rnacentral:miRNA from 1 species
AGCAACCUCGUUCCAAGGGCUUUUCCCUUUUUGUCAAAAAGGGAAAAGCCCUGGGAACGAGGUUGACAGC